CUCUCAUCUUUAUUUUCAAGUUGGUAUCAAAGCCAAUCUUGAUCUAAAUCAUUGAUCUAAAACACUGUUGCAAAUAAAUGGAUGAUAAAUCUGAAUCUUCAAAGAACGAUCAUGUUCCAGUUAUAGUGCAAUCUGAAGGGGCGUUUAACGCUGACAUUACUUUGACUGAAUCAAAUUAUGAUGUUUGGUCAUAGUUAAUGGAGAUGCACAUUGCUGAAAAAGAAAAGCUCUCUUAUACACGUGAGAAACCAACAUCACCCAAAGAAUCUGAAGAAGGAUACGAGAAGUGGUAUGCUGAAAACCAGAAAGUUAAGAGAUGGUUGCUAAUAUCAAUGACUCUUGAUAUUAUGAAAUGCUAUGUCCGGUUGCCUGCUGCUUAUGCAAUUUGGACAGCGUUGGCGAAAGGAUUUUAUGAUAGGAAUGAUGAAUUGCAAAUUUUUGCAUUAAACCAAAAGGCCUUUGGAGCUAAGCAGAAUGAAAGGUCACUUUCAGAAUAUUAUGGUGAACUCACUGAGAUUUUUCAAGAACUCGAUCAUUGAGACAAAGUUUUCAUGAAGGAUCUUGAUGAUGUUAAAAUGUACAGAAAGUCCAUUGAAAGAUUGAGGGUGCACAUAUUUUUGGCGGGACUUGAUGACCUCUUUGAACAAGUCCGUGGAGAUAUUUUACGAAAGGAGUCCAUUCCCAGUCUUGAAGAAUGUUAUGCUUUGAUCCAACGGAAGGCUAAUCGAAAAAUCACAUUCAAAGGAGAAUCUGAAACUAUGGAAACUGCAGCUAUGAUUGCCAGAAAUAAACAAAGAGGUAAUCGAAGCACUGAUAAAUCAGCAUACAAAUGUACCCACUGCAAUGAAUCUAGACAUACAAAAGAACGUUGCUAUGAUUUGGUGGGGGUAUCCAGAAUGGUGGGAUCAUAACAAAUCUCGAAAGAGGAACAUAAAGAAAGGUCAACCUACUGCGGCAGCUGUUGAAGCAAAAGCAACGAAUGAAAGUGAACAAAUGCAUUCAGUGAUGAUAGCCGAGGCAGGUAAUGGUGGACAUCCAAACAAAACAGACGAUUGGUUGUGGCACUAAGCAUGAGAAUUUAUACUACCUGGAUUUGAAAACAAUAAUUUCAGAUAAAUUACGUCAAGCUCUUGCAGUGAAUGGAAGUAAUUCUGCUAGUAGUCAAAAUAAAAUUUGGUUACAACACCAAAAAUUGGGACAUGCUUCUUUUGGAUACGUGAAGAAACUAUUUCCUAGUUUGUUUGAGAAAAUUGAUAUUUCCAGUAUGCAUUGCGAUGUAUGUGAACUUGCAAAGAGUCAUAGAACCUUUUUUUUCAGUAUUUAAUAAAAUUCCAUCUCCAUUUAUGAUUAUUCACUCCAA